rnacentral:rRNA from 1 species
CGUAUCACUUAAAGCGAUUCAGCGGGUUACGAUUGACGGAGCGAAGCGACGUCAAAGCGUAUACAAAGUCGAGUCGGUUUAAGGAUACGUUCGUUGGGUAGGGGAGCGUUCUGUAAGCCUGUGAAGGUGUGUCGUGAGGCAUGCUGGAGGUAUCAGAAGUGCGAAUGCUGACAUAAGUAACGAUAAAGCGGGUGAAAAGCCCGCUCGCCGGAAGACCAAGGGUUCCUGUCCAACGUUAAUCGGGGCAGGGUGAGUCGACCCCUAAGGCGAGGCCGAAAGGCGUAGUCGAUGGGAAACGGGUUAAUAUUCCCGUACUUGGUGUUACUGCGAAGGGGGGACGGAGAAGGCUAUGUUGGCCGGGCGACGGUUGUCCCGGUUUAAGCGUGUAGGCUGGUUUUCCAGGCAAAUCCGGAAAAUCAAGGCUGAGGCGUGACGACGAGGCACUACGGUGCUGAAGCAACAAAUGCCCUGCUUCCAGGAAAAGCCUCUAAGCAUCAGGUAACAUCAAAUCGUACCCCAAACCGACACAGGUGGUCAGGUAGAGAAUACCAAGGCGCUUGAGAGAACUCGGGUGAAGGAACUAGGCAAAAUGGUGCCGUAACUUCGGGAGAAGGCACGCUGACACGUAGGUGAAGUGAUUUACUCAUGGAGCUGAAGUCAGUCGAAGAUACCAGCUGGCUGCAACUGUUUAUUAAAAACACAGCACUGUGCAAACACGAAAGUGGACGUAUACGGUGUGACGCCUGCCCGGUGCCGGAAGGUUAAUUGAUGGGGUCAGCGCAAGCGAAGCUCCUGAUCGAAGCCCCGGUAAACGGCGGCCGUAACUAUAACGGUCCUAAGGUAGCGAAAUUCCUUGUCGGGUAAGUUCCGACCUGCACGAAUGGCGUAAUGAUGGCCAGGCUGUCUCCACCCGAGACUCAGUGAAAUUGAACUCGCUGUGAAGAUGCAGUGUACCCGCGGCAAGACGGAAAGACCCCGUGAACCUUUACUAUAGCUUGACACUGAACAUUGAGCCUUGAUGUGUAGGAUAGGUGGGAGGCUUUGAAGUGUGGACGCCAGUCUGCAUGGAGCCGACCUUGAAAUACCACCCUUUAAUGUUU